rnacentral:rRNA from 1 species
AUUGAACGCUGGCGGCAGGCCUAACACAUGCAAGUCGAGCGAGCGGCGGACGGGUGAGUAAUGUAUGGGGACUGCCCGAUAGAGGGGGAUAACUACUGGAAACGGUGGCUAAUACCGCAUACUAUCGGAUAACCCAUAUGGGAUUAGCUAGUAGGUGGGGUAAAGGCUCACCUAGGCCACGAUCUCUAGCUGGUCUGACAGGAGGAUCAGCAACACGGGGACGGAAACACGGCCCAGACGCGAAGGGAGUCAGCAGUGGGGGAUAUUGCACAUUGGGCGCAAGCCUGAUGAAGCCAUGGCGCGUGUAUGAUGAAGGCCUUAGGGUUGUAAAGUACUUGCAGCGGGGAGGGGUUACCCGCAGAAGAGGCACCGGCUAACUCCGUGCCAGCAGCCGCGGUAAGUC